rnacentral:rRNA from 1 species
AGCGGAAGAAGGGAGCUUGCUCCCGGAUGUUAGCGGCGGACGGGUGAGUAACACGUGUGUAACCUGACUGUAAGACUGGGAUAACUCCGGGAAACCGGAGCUAAUACCGGAUAGUUCCUUGAACCGCAUGGUUCAAGGAUGAAAGACGGUUUCGGCUGUCACUUACAGAUGGACCCGCGGCGCAUUAGCUAGUUGGUGAGGUAACGGCUCACCAAGGCGACGAUGCGUAGCCGACCUGAGAGGGUGAUCGGCCACACUGGGACUGAGACACGGCCCAGANUCCUACGGGAGGCAGCAGUAGGGAAUCUUCCGCAAUGGACGAAAGUCUGACGGAGCAACGCCGCGUGAGUGAUGAAGGUUUUCGGAUCGUAAAGCUCUGUUGUUAGGGAAGAACAAGUGCAAGAGUAACUGCUUGCACCUUGACGGUACCUAACCAGAAAGCCACGGCUAACUACGUGCCAGCAGCCGCGGUAAUACGUAGGUGGCAAGCGUUGUCCGGAAUUAUUGGGCGUAAAGGGCUCGCAGGCGGUUUCUUAAGUCUGAUGUGAAAGCCCCCGGCUCAACCGGGGAGGGUCAUUGGAAACUGGGAAACUUGAGUGCAGAAGAGGAGAGUGGAAUUCCACGUGUAGCGGUGAAAUGCGUAGAGAUGUGGAGGAACACCAGUGGCGAAGGCGACUCUCUGGUCUGUAACUGACGCUGAGGAGCGAAAGCGUGGGGAGCGAACAGGAUUAGAUACCCUGGUAGUCCACGCCGUAAACGAUGAGUGCUAAGUGUUAGGGGGUUUCCGCCCCUUAGUGCUGCAGCUAACGCAUUAAGCACUCCGCCUGGGGAGUACGGUCGCAAGACUGAAACUCAAAGGAAUUGACGGGGGCCCGCACAAGCGGUGGAGCAUGUGGUUUAAUUCGAAGCAACGCGAAGAACCUUACCAGGUCUUGACAUCCUCUGACAACCCUAGAGAUAGGGCUUUCCCUUCGGGGACAGAGUGACAGGUGGUGCAUGGUUGUCGUCAGCUCGUGUCGUGAGAUGUUGGGUUAAGUCCCGCAACGAGCGCAACCCUUGAUCUUAGUUGCCAGCAUUCAGUUGGGCACUCUAAGGUGACUGCCGGUGACAAACCGGAGGAAGGUGGGGAUGACGUCAAAUCAUCAUGCCCCUUAUGACCUGGGCUACACACGUGCUACAAUGGACAGAACAAAGGGCUGCGAGACCGCAAGGUUUAGCCAAUCCCACAAAUCUGUUCUCAGUUCGGAUCGCAGUCUGCAACUCGACUGCGUGAAGCUGGAAUCGCUAGUAAUCGCGGAUCAGCAUGCCGCGGUGAAUACGUUCCCGGGCCUUGUACACACCGCCCGUCACACCACGAGAGUUUGCAACACCCGAAGUCGGUGAGGUAACCUUUAGGAGCCAGCCGCCGAAG